CUAAAAUGGGCUGAAAAAGACAUGUCAAAAUGGGACUAUAAUCAUUUCUCGCUGUUGGAUGCACAAAACUGAAGAAGUAAGAAAGGCGUUCUAGAUAAGGAGUCAGCAUUGUACAUUAUCUACUAUAGAAUAUGGAAUAUAGACUUAAUAUUAAUGAGAUAACUCCACAAACGAGAGAGUGGACAUGCAAAGUAAAGUAUAGCUUAUUGAAAAAGCUAGAGCAAGACAGAGUAAGGAUGGACGGAUACGAUUUCAAAUCAUGAUUGCGCAAGAUGACACGGUAAUCUUGCUACUUUUAUGCUUACUAUUCGAAUAAUUUAUGAUUUCUUUCUUAUUUUCACCUAUAGUAAAAAUCAUAUAAAAAUAUAAAUGGAGACAAAAUUUGAUCUUUUUAAUUUCGAGUUGUGUACUUUUUAAUAUCAAUUUAACUGAUCAUUUGUAAAUACAGGAAGAACAAGUUGUUGUUGUUUUGUAUAGAGAUGACAUAGGAAAAUAUGAAAAGACGUUAACUCCCUUCAGCACAUAUUUGAUAUCAACCGCAAAAGUUAGAGCACCUCUACCCUAUGGAAUUCGUGUCAAUAGGUUUGAAUGGGUUCUAGAUAUAUUUACUGUUGUUGAACAAGUAAAAGGAGACAAUGUAGAGGAUCCACCAUUGCCUGCUCUAAUAAGAUUGAACACAAUAUUUUUAGCUAAUCUGGACUAAGAGCCACGGCAUGUGGAGUUUGGUAAGGAGUACUUCACUGUGUAUUUUAAAUUAUACUUAUAUGUCGUUUCAUGAAAUAAUAUUCACGACACCCCUAUAAACAAACAUACUUGUUGUUGUUAUGAGUUGUGGUGCAAUAAAGAUUGCUGGCGUCCAUGGAAACAAAUGUCGACAAACCAUUGUCACUACUUAUUUGAAAAUUGUCAAUAAUUUUAAACAUAUUGAAUUUCAUAGCAGUUCUUGUUUAUAGUAUCAUUAAAAUGCAAUAUUGAUGUAUUUUUUCCCUUUUUUAAUCGAGCUUCAUAGCAGCAUUUUAUUGGUUGCUCAUUUGUUAUAGGUGAUAUAAACACACACGCAAACAUAUCAUUUUUUAAUCAGAUAAUCUGAAGUACCACAGGUGAAUUGUGGUCAAUCUUUUGUUUCUUAACAAUUCCACUUUUAUUAGUACCAAGUUUUGAAAACAUGUUAUAUAGUGGGUAUCUAAUGAUACAAGCCUCUAAAUAUAUGUUAUAAUACCAGUGGGUGCUUGAAGAUCCUCUAAAAUAAUACUCAGUAGAAAUUGUUACAACUAUUUCUACAUCCACUUAACAUUUGCACAAGAGGUCAUAUUUUGCUCUCAAAGGGCUUUUGCCAGAAGUAAAUAGUCAUAUAAAUUUAAUGUACAGGGGUAUUAAAAAUGAUCUAAUUUACGAUAAAACAUCUAUUGGAGUGGAAUCAGCUGAUUUGGGAUUUCAAUGUAGUGUAUUGAUAUAUUAAAGGUCUACAGGAAAAUGUGUUUAUAUACUGUGCUAAUUAUUAAAAUUAUAUUUUGAAAAUCUUUUCAUAUGAACUACUGGUGUUUGUAUCCUUAGGUUGGUGCAUUAGAGUUUUGGCUUAUUAGUGUGCAAGCAAUUGAUUCGACAUGAAUUCAUACAUGAAUCAUGUUUAUGGUGGGUUUUUAUCCAAAUUGAAUUUUGAAAUUGGUUUGCUUUAGCAAAGAUAGAUUUUUUUUCUUGCCAGACUGGGAUAGUAUAUGAUUUUACAUAGUUGAAGCUAUUAUCACAAAGCCAGGACCAACAACUAGAAUCUUUCCUUUAUUUUUAAGGUAGAACUUUAAGUAGAAUCUAAUACAACCUCAAAAUAAACCCCAAAUAGAGAAAAAAAAGUGAGAUGGUUAUGCAAUGCCAGAUCUAACAUCACAUAAGCCAUAAGUUUAGAAAACAUACCCAGCAGUGGACUGAUAUACACAUCCAGAACCAGUGGCUGAUGAUUAAAACAAAAGAAGAAAACAACAAAAAGUUAAUAAUAAAUCUUUGAAGAGACAAAUAAAUACCAGGUAAAUGGACCUCAUCAAUUUGAAGUGAUGCAAUGUAAGCUACAUCUUGUUCUUCCCUUAGUUGACGAUCAACCCUCAACUUUUCUUGCUCUUUGGCCCUUCUACUGCCAAAUGCCAAUCCUUAUUAAUUAUUACUUGUUAUUUCUUCUCUAUAAUAUGCACCAUUGUAUUUUUACCUUGUGGGAGGACUUUGCUGAGAUUGAUGGAAGCCACCUAGCUGCACAACUUAAAGAACAUCCAGUAAUCCUUGCAAAAUGAAUUGCAUGGUCUUCAUAUGCUGGGACAUCCUUGACAAUAAGAUACAAUUCUGUAAUAUUGAUAAAUCCAUUCUAUCCACAGGCUGCAGAAAUGAUGAACUGGGCGAAAGAGAAUGAAGAAAUGUUGAACACAUAUACGCAAAGAAGUUCUCCGGAAACAGCUUCAUCGCCAAUUCUUAUAUCACUAAAUGAUGAGGCUAUACCUAUAGGAAAUAUCCAAGCACAACCUGCAGUAUAUGUCCAACAUAUGCUACUAUAUAUUUAGGUUCAAUACUAUUACCAGCAACACAACUAAUCUUAUGCACUUUUUUUUUAAUAGAUACAAUCUUUUCACGUUGAAGGUAAAAUAUCGUUGCUGGAUGAUGAGCAGCUGUUUUAUGAGGUAAUGUGUUCAAAAUGCAAGAACUUUGUUAGGACCAAAAUAAUAAAGGCUAUUGAUUGUGUAAACUUGAUCAACAAGCGAUGUUAACACCCAGGUAACCAAGCGUCUUUUUUCAAGAGAUAGCUUUUAAAAACCGCAUCUUUCAUAAUUCAAAUUUACUUUCUCAAAUAAUUUUAUGAAUGUAAAACAGCAUGUAGUAAUAUUAUAUAACAGGUGCCGCUUUCAAGUCCAAAUUGCAGAUGGAAGUGGAUCGACAAUUGCAACAUUAGUAGUUGAACCUGGAGAGAAUCUUCUUUUAAUGAAAGCUGAACAAAUCUAUGAAACAAUUAACAUAAAGAACGAAUCAUUGUCCCUUCCGGAUAUUCAACAACAUCUUGCCGACAAAGUGUUUAGAGUACAACUGAAGAAUUUUUUUUCUAGAAAUUCUGAUGAAACACCAGCAAAACUGUUCAUUUGCUGAGAAGCAGGAUACUCUCCAAUUGCCAGCAGUAUCAACUUCUACAAAUGCUGGAGAAAGCAGUAAUAGAGAACUUGACAAGGUAUCAUCAUCAGAAGAUCAAAAAAAGCUAAUCAUUGGAAGUACCUCAUCUGGCAAGAGACAACAGACUGAGCGAGCAACUCCAACCAAAAAAACUACAUCUUCUAGCAAAAGGGAGGGUAUCGAACCAGUCACUCCAACUAAGAAAAAGUAAAGGAUAGUAAACUAUGUAAAAUGCUUCAAGUGUUGGUCUACAUUUUGACAAAAUAGUUUCUAGAAUUUGACUAUCCUUUACGUGAUAUCCUGAAUAUUCAAAU